UCCGAAGUUCUAUCCUUUGAGACAGAGAGAGAGAGAGAGAGAGAGAGAGAGAGGCAGACGCAGUGACAGAAAACCGGAUGAGAGAAGCCUCUAGUUUACAGAAGAGUUCACGGUUCCAGUGCACAAAACCAAGGGCCACACACCAAAAACCCCAAAGGCGCACACUCUUCAACAUCAUCGUCAACAGCAACGCCGCCAACAACAUCAUAAUUUCACCACCUCUUUUCCCUAUAAAUGCACCGGCCGUCCCAACUCCUCCAUACUCCCCCACUCGUUCCACCGUUUCCAGCUAUCCUUUUCCCACCCACCUUGCGGUAUUCUCGGCUUUGCUUUCCCAAGAAAGAAGAAGAAGUCAAAGAUGGAGGCCAUUCAGUCCUGGGUCUCUGAGCACAAGCUCGCCAGCAUUGGAGGACUAUGGGCGUCGGCAAUCGGAGCGUCGCUUGCUUAUUCACGCGCUAAGUCUCCCCUCAAGCCAAGCCUCCGCCUCAUUCAUGCUCGGAUGCAUGCACAGGCCCUGACGUUGGCGGUGCUCUCCGGUGCAGCGGCUUACCAUUACUACGAGCAACGGUCCAACGAGCCUCGACGCGAUUGAGCUCCACCUUUUUGCUAUCUAAAGAUGCUUCUCUCCAGGAAAAAGAGCAUCUGCUCCUGGCGCGUCGAAGAUGAAGAUCCUGCUCUUCGUUCGACAACAUCGCUAAUGAAUAAUUCGACAUGAUGCAAUGGCUUCUAGUUGAUUUCCUAUGUUCUACGAGACAUGAUUUCCUUAUGUACAUACGUCGUUACGAGUUGAACGAGGGAUGAGGACGUUCUUGUGCUUCCCCUCUUAUCACUGAGUCUACUGAAUCCUUUCCCUUCAUAGCGAAGUCUAUCUAUUUUUAUUUUUAUCAUAA